CCCAUUCCUCAAACCCCUGCCAGUGCAGGAUUAUUCCUCAGAGUACACUCUCCACUGUCCUGUCCAAGCUUGACUGCAUAUGACUCAAGCAAUGGGUUUCCACUGCUUGGGAGAUAUUUCUGCAGUCUGAUAGACCUCAUUAUUAGGAAAUUUUGCUAAACGUUCCUUCAUUCAGGUUUAACCCACUAUUUUUACCAACAUGUUACUGAGUCAUGAUAACCAGCACACCUUUCUUGCUAGUUUUCCAGUCUUCAGUUAUUUGCAGAUGACCAGAGCACCCUCUCUUUCCUCCUAGUCUUCACUGAUCUUAGGUAGCAUAUCAGUAUUAAACUCCUUUCUGGUUUUCAUUGUUUUUUUACAGGACAGUUUCUGCAGUCAUUUUUAUUGCUUUGCUAUGAAUUACAGCCAGUUUGUUGACUUUCUUUGAUAUCCUAGUUCUUCCCCAUCAUAUUUCUGUGCUAGUCUCAUUUCACCUGAAAGAGACUAGUAUCAGAUUUCAGCUACAGCAACAAGGAUUUCUGAUGAGCUUGGUCAACAAUCCUCUUUCUUGCUGAAGAGGGCUGUUAAGACAUCUAUAAUAUGUUCAGAAAGACUGAGACAGGCUGGCAUUUCACUUGUGAAAUGUUCUAUUUUGUUGCAGAAAUAAGGAUUAUUAUUAAAAAUGUCAUUUAAUAUUUUGCAUUUCACGAUUUUACAUUUCAAGUGCUUUUAAUUAUUUUCUGUUGCAGGAGACAUUAAAACUAUGAAUAAAAUGUUCUUUCUACCUGGAUCUAAAUGUUCCCCCCUCACAUAAUUAUCCGUUCAUGGAGUGCAGCCAAUCUCACCAGGGGACUCUUCCAGGGUCUUUGUCAGGUUUGGAGAGGUAGGAGGGGAAUGUAUUAAUUUGGCAAUAAUUUGUUUUUUCUCUGUUUUACAGUAUUCUUCAAUAGAAUACUCUCCAGUGACAUGACCAUGUUCCUCAAACGAUGGCUCAGCCGAGCUGUCUGUCCAAAGGUCUUUUGGAUGUAUCAGAAAUGAACCCCACCAGAUUCAGGAUUGAGCAGCCAAUUUAGCCAUGAGGAGCCAAGCAAAGGAGAAACAAUGGAAUGACAUAUCUUCACCAAAUGCAAAGAAGUAACACUUGAAUGAUGACAUUUAUGUGGAGAAUGCAAUCAGUACAGUUUCACUUAAUACUUGAAAACAUUGCCAUGUGAUGAGUACUAGCAAAGCUCAAGAGUCAUUGAGAAGGAAAACCUGCUUGGUUAUCAAAUUUAUGAACUAUGCUUUGUAGUCCAUAGAGACAAUGCUUUCCAUAUACUGUGCCUUCCUUUUGCUUCUGGCUGUUACUUGUCCUUUCAUAAGUGUUAAGACCCCAUUAACCUCAUGUAUAUUUCUUCCUUAUGAGCUCCUGCAAAGGGGAACAGCAUGAUCAUGAAUAGGAGAUGACCUGAUAAUAGGGUCCUCAGAAUUUGUCCUGUUACUGAAAUAUGAGACACAGUCUGAAAAACAUCAAUAGGUUAUUUUUUAGUCCUUUCUCUCACAACAAAUAUUUGUCAUGUUUAAUAAAUUUCUGUGUAUAUGCUUAUUCUUAAAUGUUUCCUCCACGGGAGGUUCCAACAGUUUCCUUGAAAGAUUUUUCUAUAAUGCAGUGAACUUCAGGUGCUCAUUCUUAAUUUUACCCCAUUCCAAUUUACAAGUUCCUUUUGAAGUCCGCAUUACUUCCCUUUCUCCUUCGUGCAUCUCUUAUUAUUCAAAUAUCUGUUGUUGCUGCAUUUUAAUCCUUCUUGUACCCUAUUCUCAUUUCCUAACUUUGUGUUGGUUCAUGAUGUACAGGAGCACACAACUGGCUCUUUCAGUCUUGCUUCAUUAUUAAGCUUGAACAGAAAGUAGAGCAGCAUUUGUCCAGCCACAUACUUGUUCCACCUACAUUUAGACUGUACUUUUUCUAUAUUGAAGCACAGAUCUUACUUUCCAUUCUUACAAGUUUACAGUACCUUGCUACCCCUCAGCACUAAUUCUGACCCUGCAUCUGGACCUUUUUACUUGGUGAGGACCCUGUGGACCUCAGAUGGGGUUUCUGGAGGAAUGAGUAGUAGUUCCUAAGGAUACAGCUGCAGACUCAGAACCCCAGCUGUUAGGGGUUUGGAGCAAUGUCCUUGUCUAUUCUUUAACUGUAGUAUUAAACUCACAUGCAGUGCUUUAUCAGCAGGAAUAAAAUGUUGUGAAUCCUUAAUCAGAACUGCUAAUCACAGCUUUUAAAUAUGUUUAUACAGAAAUGCUAGGCCACUUUCCACUGUAAUUUAAAUCUCUUACAGCCUCACUAGCUUUAACAGAAAUAGGCGAGAGUAGGGUAAGAAUAAAACAGGUUGGGAUUUGUCUCCAGAGGAAAAAAAGGAAAUCCACCUCUGGCAUUUGAAGCUGCAAUAUAAAACACUUGUUCAGUUAAGACUGGCAAACUUACUGAAGAUUUACACUGUAAAAAUUACAAACAGGAAGAGAUGUUAGAAACAUAAGCAGUUUUUCACAGAUGUCAGUCUCAAAAAGCAGUAUCACUGACACAGCCUCUGAAAAAUGUGUCAAAAUGAAGAACAGGUGAAAAAAGAGCAUUCGUGGUUUGACAAAGUACUUAGGAAGAUUCACUGAGUCCAAAUUAUCAAAGCAAAUGUGCUGCAUCCUAGGUAAUUGUAUGACAUGAUUGUAAACAGUCCAUCUAUUUGGAUGGACUAUUGGCUUUUUGACUAAUCAAGUCAAAGAUGGAAGCAAUUUCUAUUGCUGCUUAUUAUUAUGAUACAGAUGAUUUCCAUAGACGCUAAAGACCCAGAGCUGAUCCUAUUCUUGUUAGGCAAUCUACAAACUUUUAGAAAGAUGCUCAAAUGAUAAGCCUCACCAAUUGCGUAUAAUUGCCGGAAAGGAAAAAAUAUGUCCCUGAACUAUUUGCAAUCAUGUCAUAUGAUUAUCGAGGCUGCAGUACAUUUGCUUUGGUAAUCUGGAGUCAGUGCAUUUUCCUAAGUCUACUGUUUACUGGAGUAGAAUUCCAUGUUUCCUUAAUGUUUGCCACUUCCAUUAACUUCAAUGACAGAAGGCACACUAACCCUUUUCUCAUGGAUUUACACGGAUUGGUAGCUCUCUUUUCACCUCUCGUAGGUAAGCAGAAUUGGACAAUUACCAACUCCAAUGUCAUACAGUAUGUUACCAUCUAUGAUCCUUAUUCUCCUUAUAAAUUGUUCUGAAUUAUCCUGCACUCUCCUCUGGCUAGAUUUUGAAAAGAGGUCCCAUAAAAGCAGCAAGGUACUGGAAAAGUUAACUCCCAGAAACUUUAAAACAAAUGAUUGGAGUGUUAUUAACUUGUGAAGAUAUGUAGGAAUUCUACAAGGAAAUUUUUCUGGUAUCUAUAUCCUUGUGAACAUGUUAUUUUAAGGGAGUUAUGAAUGACAAGGAGUCACAGUAUUUGCUCUAUUCAAGGAAAAAUGUUAGUAGUUUGACUUUAGUCUUGUCUCUAGUUUCUUAUGCAAGGAAGCAUAGUUUUACCUAAUGGUUGCAGUUUCUUAAAUUAUUUUUCUCAUGUAAUUGAGAACUUCUCUUUUUUGUCCCACUGCUAUGUUUGGAUUACUGUUUCUGGCACAAUUCCUUAUAGCCCAAUUCAGCCUUCAGCUAUACAGGCACAGAUCCCAGUGAAGUCAGUGGAAGCUGCACUUGGAUAUUUGAGAAAGGGUUUGGGGCCUUUAACCUUAGUGCGAACAAAUAAAUUGUAAAUUAUAUUUAAAUUAGAUUAGCAAAGAAUUAGCACUUCCCUGGUACAGUUCAUUCUAUUAGUUCCGUAUCAAUCUUUUUUUCUUUUUCAGGAAAUGUUUACAAGUGAAGUCACAAAUCAUAUCUGAUUAGCUGAAUUAUAUAUAUGAAAGAUAACUGGCUUGGAAUUAGGUAGAAGAGACUGAAAGUGCCUUUAGGAAUUCAAUGAAAUCUAUUCUUUUGUAUGUAAAGAGCAACUUAGCUUUAAAAUUUGUGGUACAUAUAUAAAACAAACAAAAUUUUCAAAGACCCCUUUGUUUAGCAUAGGUUUUUAAAUAUAGUAUAAGUUAUUUCUUCUUCUACUUAUAAAAAAUGUAAAUUAUUCAUGUUACCUGCAGUUAGCGACCUGUAGAUGGACCUUCACAAACCACAGAUGGCCUUCUACAGCACAAAUAAUAACAGUCCAUUACUAGGCUCUGUGCACAGUGUCUGAAUCUUUCAAGGCUGUAAUUACAGGCAAUGUUACAUUUAAUUUGGCGCUAGCAAAUGAUUUGUUGGUAAACAUGACAUUUUGAUCAGUCUGAGAAAAAUCCUUACACUGGAGCUUUCUGAUACUAGACAAUCAAAAGCCCUAUAAAUGAACUUUGUAUGCUUUGGGUCUGAUUCUUAGAGAAAUUCUGUGACCCUCACCUCCGAUGUGUAUGAUCUAUUUUAAGUUACUGUCAUUAGAUUCUUCUCCUGUUUUUCAUUACACACAAUAUUAAUACAUUCCCAGAGGUUCAAAUAAUUUUUCCCUACAUGCUACUUAACUCCUUUAAAGAUGUUUCUCUUUUAUCAAUCACUUACAUUCUUCAAUUUUUUCUAUUAGUUCCUAAGAAAGUAAAUAAAAUCCCUCCUAUGUUUACUUUGUCUUUGGGGCAAAAGGAAGUUUGGUUGUUUUCUUUUCUUUGUCUUUAUGUGAAAAAAACUCCAGAGAGAGAUGAAAUUGUCAAUACUACGACCUUUGUUGGGCUGACUAGAGGCUUCUGGAGGAGGGAAAAUAUUACAAAACUUAGAUCUGACUGGUCGUGUUGCAGCCGCAUUCAGAGAAAAUACUGAUAUUUUAAUUUACUGUCAAAAAAUUAAAUUUGGUCAUUUAAAUUGGAAAUUGGGUACUGUAACUUAAUUAUUUUACUCUUGCAACUAUUUCUUGUAUUCAUAUUUCAAGCAUUUAACAUGAUGUGGACCCCCUUCACACUGCCUCAGGUGGCAGCUAUGUUCAAGGUUACAAGAUGUGUGUAGGGCCAUGUUCACGUCCCUGUCUCCUCAGUUUCCAGUACUACUGUAUCAAAAUUUGUUAGCAUAUAAGCAUUCCUCUCCCCCUCAUCUCCCUCUUCAUUCCAAAGCUUUAGCCUCAACUUUAAACAGCUCAUCCUUUCACUUUCCAACACAGAGCAUGUAAUAUAAACACAUGUAGUUAUGUCAUAUUAUUUGGGGGAACUCAUUAUAAUAUGUUAAUAGAAUGGUUGUAAUGAUUCCUACAUGGGUUGUAAAGAUAUUGUCAGUUUGCUCUUUAUACUUUUUGAGAGCUCUGUAGGAAACACAAUCUCAGAUUUUUAAUCAUCUGUGGUAUUUUGAGAUAUGACAGGUAACAGGAGGCAUCCUCACUUCCAGAUGCUAAAGUACUUAUAACUUUUUCAAGUUGCUGCAGUUUCAUUUUAAGCAUUCAGUGAAUCACAUUUGGAAAAAAUCAUAAUUUGGAGAGGAAUUGACCUGCAAGCUAGUCCUUCUGAUUAACAUGGAACAGCAUAAUAAAGCUUGCAUUAUACAUGUUAAAUGCCAAGUAUUAUUAUUCUGUAGCCCACUUUGCUUCUGCUACAGCAAUGAAUCAACUCUAUAGUAUGCAACACCAUCUUCAAACAGUAGUGUGAUAACUCUAAAAAGUAUUAUCAUUGUUGACCUUUUCAGUUAUACCACCUUUCCUACCACCCUUGAAUGUGCAAGUCUGUAAGUUGUUAUUUACCAGCUCACCCAGAGUAACAUUCCUGGACUGCUGCCCAGUUUGGCAAUUAUGAGUCUUAUUAUAAUUUGAAGAUAUCUUGUUUUAAAUGGAAAAUUAAAAAAAAAAAAAAAAACAAACAACAAAAACACCUUAAAAUAUGAAAGCAUUAUAUUCACUUAGAAGACCGCUGGCCUAUAUCUUCUCAUGUAAUUACUAGAGGAUACUUGCUAUAGGAAAGCUUAACCAGAACUUGACCUACCUGCUUGCCUCCUGUUGAUAUCCAGUUCAGUACUAUGUAGUAUUGAUUUUUUUUUUUUAAUCUGGUUAAGAGAUAUAUGUAGAUGCACUUCCUGCCUCUUUCCCUUUGGCUGAGGUUUUUCUUGUCUGUGGGCUGCCUAAAUUGACAUAGACCACAUGGAAAAUGUACGUAGCAUUAAUUUCCUUAAACUGGAGACUGACAGGCACAACUGAAAAGAAUGAAAUAUAUGCAUCCAUCAUAAGCUAGUAUGAGAGAAUUCUUCUCUCUUGUCUUCCCAUCUCCUCUGAAUAUUAAUAUGAUUUUUUCAAAUGGCCAGAAAAACAAUGCAGAAAGCAUAAGAAUCAAUUCACACAUCAAAACAAAAUGGCCAGGGUAUCUACAGGUUUUUGGGUUCUGGCAAAAGAUCCAAGAGUUUCUACAAGGUUCUGGGGUCUGAACGGAUGCCUGGAGGAUUUUGUACUAAUGUGUUUGGAAAAGACUCAAGUCACAUAGGUGGCCCAAUGAAUGUGAGCCAUAUUCAGGGAAUUAUAAAUCCUAGUGCUCAGUCUCAGUUGGUUUCUUUUAUCCUGUGUGCUUUCAGGGAUCUAAUAAAUGCUGAAGAUAUUGACUGCUGCUUUAGAAGUGUCUCAGUCUGUCAUAAAAACAAGUCAGCUGAAUGCAGGCUGUGAAUGUAUGCAUUUUUGGCAUAUACUUGCUAACUUUUUUAUUUGGGUAUUAAUUAGAAUCAAAGCACAGCUAAUGUCAAGGAAUUGUCACUAGUAGGGUGACUGUCCUUAUCAAAAGUCAUCUGUGUAGCUCAUAUACCAUUUGGUCAUAAGAGACACAAAGGAGUGGCUUGUAGAUGUUAUCCUUACUGAUGGGAUGCCAAGGUAUGUAAAAAAAAAUUAUGGUAGCUCUCUGGAUCCUUAGUAUUAGAUGUCAAAAACCACAGGCAAUUCAAACAGCCCUCUGAGAGCAAGGGAUUUUAACUUUUUUUUCUUAGGAUAUCUAUUACAUUUUGGGUUUGUGCAAGCUGUAUAGGUACCCAAGGAACUAUAAAUGUAGCCAAAUGCCUAGUAAGUCAAAAUUAUCAUGUGAGUGCUGUCACAAUUCACUUUUAUUGGUUGUAUAAAGUGCAGGUGGUGACUUAUUCCACCACUGGAAAUUCUUGGUUAAGAUCUCAAAAUUUAGAGCUAUGUCUUUCUAAAGCCAUCAGCAUUUGACCCAAGCCCAUUCCUGUUAAGCUAAGUCGGAGUGGCAGAACUAAGCUACUUCCUUGGAUAUCCUUAAGUCGGGACCCCAAGGUCUGCUUAAACAUCCAGAUGGCUCAUUUGCAAAAGUGAUGAGCGCCAACAGCCUUCUGUGGCAAGCUUUGGCCGCCGGCUCAGGUAACAGUGCUUUGUAUUAGAAAUUAUCAGCUGAGCAGAAGUCAGCACCGGCCACUGACAAUGCUGCCUUCCAGCCACAGGAAGGGCCACAGGGCCACGCAGCUGCCUGGCCAAAACUGCAGCUGCUGAAACACUGUAGAUCCUUGAUCUUGGACGGAUGGAGCUGCUCUGGCAUUUGUUGAGGAGCUGAGCCUGCUGGAAGGUGAAACUGUAAUACAAAGGAACUGGUAGUUACAAAAAAAAGAUUACUACCAGAUCACCUAUUGAUGAAAGACUGUUGCAGGGAUACCGGCAGCUUUUGGAAAGCGUUCCCAGUUGUGUUUUUAAUAACAUUGGCCUACAGAAUGAGAAUGUAUACUCUGCUGAGUUGUAAUAACACUUCGGAAUGUACUAGCCCACAAACUGAGCAUCGUAAAACUGUUGUUUUCACAUUUUCCUAAUAAAAUGCCAUGGCCUUGUAAA